GAAACAGUCUGAGCUGCGUUACUUUGAACACCAAAAUUGCUUUCUAGAAUUCAGUGGGAAAAUAUACCUGCAAAGGAAUUUCAGAACUGUGGCUGAAAUGAUUUAAAAAAUAGGAGGCUAAUAAUGAAGGAGUCAGUAAAAGAGCCAGUGUGCCAUGAGAGUUAUCUCAUGGCCCCAGAUGCUGGAUAAGUUGAAGAAGGCAGAAAUCACUUCUGGAUGACAUUCAGGUCUGAAUGAUGAUUUGAAGAAGAAAAGACUAUUAUUUCCAAGCUUCAGCAAUAUAUUCCUGAAACAAAAGAUCCACUCCAGACUCUGCCACACCUAAAAAGAAGCUUUGAAGAAAUUGCCAGGCUCAAGUAUGAUGAAAGAAUUACCCACAAAGCAGAAAAUGAAAAAAAGGCACAUAGAUCUGUAAAGUGUCAAAGAUCUGGUUCAGAAAUGGUCUCACAAGAUCCAUUGACUCUCAACAAAACCUGAGACGGAAUUGCUCCAGUUAAGUGAACUAGGUAUCAAAUUACAGAUGAACUGUCUACUUUUGUCAGUAUUAAGAGUUAUGCUGCACAAUAUUCAAGGACACAUCUUUACUUCACCAUGUUGCCUUUCAUCUUUGAAACUGUUUAAUUCACCUGAAGAUAAAGAUACCAUGCAAUUUAUAUGCCAUCAAAGUAAUUUCUGGAAUGCAUAACAGAAAAUCACCACCACAGAGGUUUUCGUGGCCAUCCACUAAUUUAUUACUUUUUAUAGUUGCAUAGAAUGAUGGGAGGAACCAGGACGGGCCUUGCCAUUAGACUGAUUGAUCUGAUCAUUUCAGGUGAUUGUGAGGAAGGAUGGGGAUAGCUAGAUAGCUCCAAAACCAAGAUCAUUUGUUUACUUGGUUUAUCUACCAGCCAGCAGCAGACUGGCAUUUGCUAACAGGUUCCUCCCACACUCUCUGCUAAGGUCAGUGUUUUGUUCUAGAAUGACAAACUAGGCAGUGAUAUUCCUUUCAUCCUUUUCCAGGCUGAAAUUCCUUGCUCCAAAUACUUCUUCUCAAUGAGGCAUUGAGAGCCAGGUAUAAAGCAGCACAGAUGACUAGUUUCCACUGUGCCUUGUUCUGAACACUUGGCAAAUGUCUGCUUGACUUACCCUCCCACAGCUAAAACUAUAGUUUAUUAUAUAUUAAUAUCAAUAAUAGUAUAUUACUAUUAUAUUUUAGUAAAGACUCUUCUGAAAUCAGAGUCAUUUUUCAUUUUUUCAUUUUCUUCUUUUCCCUUAUAACAUCUGUGCAUAUAGUUAAAAUUCCUUCUGUAUGGUUUAGAACAGAAUUUGCAACUAUGGUAUUUUAUCAGGAGAUACUCUCUGGAAGUGCUCUAAGGAUGUGCA